rnacentral:rRNA from 1 species
UACAGAGGUCUCAAGCGUUGUUCGGAUUCAUUGGGCGUAAAGGGUGCGUAGGUGGCGCGGUAAGUCGGGUGUGAAAUCUCGGAGCUUAACUCCGAAAUUGCAUUCGAUACUGCCGUGCUUGAGGACUGGAGAGGAGACUGGAAUUCAUGGUGUAGCAGUGAAAUGCGUAGAGAUCAUGAGGAAGACCAGUGGCGAAGGCGGGUCUCUGGGCCGAUACUGACGCUGAGGAGCGAAAGCGUGGGGAGCAAACAGG